rnacentral:lncRNA from 1 species
UUUCUUGCCUUCAAUUUGCCAAUUUCAGUACGAAGUGUUAUGAUUUUCGUUUCCCCAUGACCUAUGAUUCCUUUCAAUGUAUCGACUUCAUGCUGAAGUGAAGUGACGAGUUCAUCAUAGCUCUUUGAUAUAUUCUUUUCGAUACCAAUCCUUGAACGCAGGCACAAGGAUUUUUUCCUUAUCUGUAAAAUAGGCUUGCGUUGUCAGUGUAAACAUUUUUAAAUACAUUCGCACUGACCUGGUCCCUCAAAGUCGCAUCUAUAUGAAUGCUUGAAGUUUUCCUUAUUAAGUCACAAGAACUUGUGAAGUUGGUUGUCCCUAAAAUGCCACUGUGCGCCAAAAAUUGUUUGGCUCCAUCAAUUCUAGAAUUCAGUGAUUGCAUCUCUUUACUCUGUUCGCUCGACUCAAACGCAGACUUUCCACUUGAAUAUAAACCUAGAGCAUCAGUUAGAUAUCUGUCUGUGCUUUCCGUAGUAUCCAUAGCAUUUCCAUAGUAUUUCCGAUUGUUAGUGGCACAGAUAAAGCUCAUGUCGUGAUACGAAAGCGACUUAUAUUCCGUGCGUUGGCCUUGUUUCAGCUCCUUCGGAAGUCGAUUGUUUGGCUGAAGUGUUACUGGCUUGUAUUGAAAUGUCAGAGGCUCGUUUCGACCCGAAAGAUUCCACUUAUACAUUUUCGAGCUAUUUCCACGUACUUAGAAUCUGUGACAGCCAAGUCACAGUUACAUCUGGUGUUUAAAUUUUCAAAUAGGGGAUCUAUGUUGUGCAGAACAUAAUGCAAAAUUCUUGGCUAUCUGAUCCGAAGGCAUUUGUACAUAUGUAUGGUUAAACACCUUAUAAAAUAGCUCAAUAAACUAUCAUCUUCAUAUUCAUCUUUUCACAAUUUAUUUAUUAGCACAUACAUAUGCAUUGCCGCGGAAUAUUCAGAAUAUUCAGUUCUUUUGGCCGCAGCUAAUUCAGCGAGUAAUUUUGAGUAUGCAUGCUUAUUCCAUCCCAUUAUUAUCAGAAACGGAUCACCCUUCCAUUCAGCCUGUAUAUAAAAAUUUUGAUUCAGAUCAAAACAUUUGUUUUAGAAACAUUUGUACGUCACAACUUGAAUACUUUUAUAUACGUACAUAUGUGUAUAUAAAAGAUGUACUAGAUGUCAUUUCGCCAUUCUGUCUAUAAUAAUGAUCAAAUCUCGCCUUAAUUCGGGAAUAUGAUAGAUAUGCCUGCUCCCCUACCGGACACCAUUUGUCGGCUUCGAACCAAACAAACUUGACAGAUUUGGGUCUAUGAACAAGCUUUAUAAUUAUUUUUUUCUAUGGCACAUAUUUUUUUACGGGUUUUGCAUAUGUAGCAUAUUUUCGACCUUUGUGGGGGAUUUACAAUAUACUAUUUACUCUUUUUGUGUAGGGUAUAACAACGCAAAUAUUAAACUAAAAUGUUUGAGGUCAGUAUAAGAUAAUGUACAUUUAAAUCCCAAAAACCGAAAUCUGUCAAAAACGAGAAGGGACGUGUGUGUGAGACGCUUCUUACGCGUCAUAACUUUUAUACCCGGCACUCAGUACUACAUCUGCACCUUAGCGGUUAUUUGUAAAAUUUUAGAUUUUUUCUUCAUCUGUCAUCGACAUCAACAACACUACUCACGCCAACAUGCUCCUUCAGCUCGCUCCCCUUCCCUAGACCCACACACUGCAGACUCGCGGCAGACGUAGUGGCCGCACACAGCAGAAGCAGAGUGUGAAUGAGAGAAUGUGCAAGAAACAAAUAUAAGCAGCGGGACGGGGUGGGUUUAGCCACUGAAAAUUAAUUUCUUCAUUGUGGCUAUAAUAAUGAUCCAAUCGGAUCCCAAUUUGGUGAUCUGAUAGAUACGGGCAUUCCCUACGAAAUGUUUUCUUUUAUCCUCAAAACUGUAGGUUUGGGAGGUUUUCGCCCUUUUUUCGCGGGGCUAAUUUUUUAAAUACACUGGCUUCAGUGUGAGCAUAUAGCAGUCCGGAGCCAAAAUUUGGUGGCUCUAGCUCUUAUAGUCUCUGCGAACUAGCCGACAAACAAGACGGACGGACGGACAGACAGACAUGGCUCUAUCGACUCGUCUAUUGAUGCUGAUCAAGAAUAUAUAUAUUUUAUGGUGUCGGAAACGUUUCCUUCUCUGCGUUACAUACAACCGUUAUUCUCACAUAUACAAUAUACCCUAUUUACUCUUCGAGUACCGGGUAAAAAGAUCUAGGUUUGUUUUGAAGCGUAAAAACGCUGUUUCAUAGUGCGAUUUAACUUGAAUAGAUUGAGCCGAUUUCGUGGGCGUUUGUCAGAAAUCUAACAAAAGGAAAAACAAAUUAGCAACACCUAUCUAAAAAGGAAUACAUUCACACGCAUAUCUUAUAACUGGAAGGGACGUGUGAGACGCUUCUUACGCGUAACAACUUUUAUACCCGGUACUCAGUACUACAUCUGUCCCCUUGCCGUUUUUUUUUAAUUUUACAUAUUUUCUUCUUGUCAUUUACAUCUACAUCACUUCUCACGCCAACACGCUGUUUUAGCUCGCCCCCUACCCUAGAGCCGCACACUACACAAAGCAGAGUGUGGAUGAGAGAAGUUUUUAGUUUUCUUUUAUGUUCAAAAUGGUGGCUGUGAGAGAUUUUAGCCCUUUGUGGCGGCGGAAAGGGGCGGGGCUUAUUUUUGCAAAUACACAUGUAACAGUGGGAUACAGCAUACAGAAGUCUGGAUGCAAAACUUGGUUGUCCAAUCUAUUAUGGUCACUGAGUACUGGGCGCACAUAAGGACGGACAGACAGACAUGGCUCAAUCGACUCGGCUAUUAAUGGUGAUCAAGAAUGUUUAUACUUUAUGGGGUCGGAAACGUUUGGUUCUGUGCGUUACAUACAACCGUUAUUCCCCACAAAUACAACACAGGUGAAACACUAGGCACCCUCCGAUGAACCAUACGAUUUUUCUCAAGAUAAGUUAAAUUAAUUUUCCGGAAGACUUUUGGAGAAACCCAUGGCCAGAUUCAUUUCUAGAGAAUGUGAUUUGACUAGUGAGUCCAUCUAAGACAUAUUUUUGAGCUAAAUGUAGCUAAAUGCAUACGCCAAGUGUUUCACCUGUGUUUUUUUUUAACUGGAGUUUGAUACAAAAUUAACUUUUUCUGUUUUCGUUGACCGUACGCAGUACCAUCAUCAUGGUGUACGAAUAAUAUGUGUGCUUACGCACGUACAUAUGUACUAUGUUGCGUUGCAGACAAGCACUCAAGCAGACGGAACUUCUCAAUUCUUCGAUACGCUUAUUGGUCACAUUAAAGGUUGAAAUAAAUAUUGUUGAAAUUAUUAUUUAUUACCAAAACCGAAUUCUUGUAUACUUAUAUACUAAACAAUGGAGCUGG